rnacentral:tRNA from 1 species
UAGAGAGUAGUAAAAUGGAAUUACAAAGAGUUUUGAUCUCUUUUUUAUAGGUUCGAUUCCUAUUUUUCUAA